UGUGUUAAUAGAUGUUAUUUAUAUAAUGCUAGUUGUUGAUCGCAUAUUACGUAGUUAUUGAUGUAUUAUGAAAAUACAACGUCGAUUGUACAUGAUGUGGCCCUCAUUUAAGACCAUGUGGAUGUACUUAAGGCUCAUUAAUACGGAUUUUUCAUGAAUUACCCCUGAUGUUUGACUUUAUUUACUAAAUACCAUCGUAAUUUCGGGUAUUCACCAUAUACCCCUGAGGUUUUGUAAACGUGCGCAUUAUACCCUUAAUGACCAUUUUCCGUCAACUCCUUUUACUUUUCCGCUAUAAAUUUUUUAUGAAAUGUCUUCGAGAUUUUACUUUAUUCACCAAAUACCCUUAAGUCGUGCAAGAAAAUGAAACCUCAUGGGUAUAUGGUGAAUACCUGAAAUUACGAGGGUAUUUGGUGAAUAAAGUUAAACCUCAGAGCAUUUCAUAAAAAUCCGUACUUAAUACUUCCUCCAAUUUUAAUACUCGCAACGUUUGUGGUUUUUACUCUAUUCACAUAUUCUACUUUGACCAUUAUUAGUGAUUUAUAGGUAAGAUAAACAUAGUCACGUGGGAUCUCGUUAGAUUCAUCUUAAUGUGUAUUUUCAAAAUAUUAACUUUUUAUAAUUUUAACUUGAAGAGAAUUAAAGAUAAUGAUAAUCAAAGUUGUGUAUUGACAUGCGUGAAAGUGACAAACGUGAGUGAUACGGAGUACCUAGUUUAGUCAUUAAGGGUAUACUUGUAAUUAAAAAGGGCAGAAAGACUAACCCCCUAGACAUGGAGAACAAAACAUUUUUUCCAUUUAUCCUUCUUGGUACGUUAAUCACAAGAUAAGGUCCACUAGGGGAGAAAACAGUUGCAAACUUGCAAUGUCAUUGUCAAAUAUCUCAACUGGGUCACCACAAUAGAUAUCUACAAACUUUUGUAAAAGACGGUCUUACAGGAAAGACCGCCUUGAUGGCACAUCAACUGCCACACAAGCUGCCAGGUGAAAUGCUAACGUCAGCAUCAAAAAUAAAAAUAUAUAUAAUAUUUAUGAUUUAUUUUCAUUUCAUUUUCCAAAACCUAAUUCGUUUCUUUCUCUCUCCUAAAUUCUCUGCCCCUCUCUCUCUCCUAAAAGAAGAAUUGCUCCUCUCUCCUCCGUAACUAAAGGAUCGGUGGCGAUGGUGGAACUGCCGAUCUUUCGGCGGCGUCAGGCUUAAUUGUCGGUCCUCCACCGCGCCUCGUGUCGGAUUAUCGUCGUUUAACGUCAAAGCGGCCGCAGGUACGGUGGUUUUCGUCGACAAAUCCGAAGCGGAGACGAUUGUUUUGAAGUUCAGGAUACUCGAAGCCGCCACCGCCGUAAUCAAACUGCCGGAAACUUCAGGUAGCGAGCAGUGGUGAUAGAGGAAGGAGAUCGACUCGUGGUGCGACACGGAAAAUAAUUUCCUCAACCAUGUCAAUCGUCGUCUCCGUCGUCGUUCGAUUCAACUCGCUCUUGUUGAUGGUGGCUUGUUGAGCGGCAAGCCUGAGUUCCUCCUCUUUCUGAAAAAACAGUGUGCAAACCAGCUCCAUUUUGUUGGUCUUGCGGCGGUGGCGGAUGUGACUUGCUGUUGGUUGUGCGGUGUUGUUGGUGGUGUUCGAAUGUUUGAACAAAUUGCAGAAAUAAGUUUGAUAUUUGAAAGAUUAUGUUGUUGUUGUUGGUAGGUGGUGAUGAUGUUGUUGUUGAUGUUGUUGGUAGGUUAUGAUGAUGUUGUUGUUGGAUACACUAUACAAUCAGUGAUGUAGACAUGUAGUAGUGUUGCUGAUGCUUUGUUGGAUGUCUUUAGAUGUCUUGACAGAGGUGAAGUUCAGAAUGGCAGCUUGGUAGCCUCUUCGUUCGUUCAUCUCCAGAUUUAGUUAAUGAUUUAUGUAAUAAUUUUAGUUAAUUUCGUGUAAGCUAUGUUUAAUUUUGUUUUAAGUUGAGAAAAAAUCCAUUUUAGUUAAGAAAUAAAAUUGUUUAGUUAUUUUUUUGUAUUUAUCUCAAUUUUUAUAAUUUGUAUUUUGGUGUUGGGCUUCCUAGUUAUGAAUAACUUUGUUUUUUUUUUUAGUUAUGAAUAAAUGCUUUUUAGUUAAGAUUAAAUUUGUAUUAGUUAAGAUUAAAUUUCUAAGGUGUAGUUAUUAUUUCUCGAGUAUUAGUUAAGAUUUUUUGAGUACUAGUUACGAUUUUUUGAGUUUAGUUAAGAAUAGUUUUGUUUUAGUUAAGAAUAAUUUUGUUUUAUUUAAGUUACAAUUGUUAUAGUUAAGAAUAGUUUCGUUUUAGUUAUGAAAAUUUUUGUUGUAAUUAAAAUAAUUUUGUUUUAGUUAAUUUGAAAUUCAAUUAGUUAAGCAAUAUAACCAAUUAGUUAAGUACUAGAACUAAUUAGUUAAACAACGAAAUCAAUUAGUUAAACACUAUGACCAAUUAGUUAAACAUUGGAACUAAUUAGUUAAGCACCGUGACAAAUUAGUUGAUCAUUGGAACUAAUUAGUAAAGCGAUACAACCAAUUAGUUAAACAUUGGAACUAAUUAGUUAAGCGAUACAACCAAUUAGUUAAACACUAUGACCAAUUAGUUAAACAUUGGAACUAAUUAGUUAAGCACCGUGACCAAUUAGUUGAUCAUUGGAACUAAUUAGUUAAGCGAUACAACCAAUUAGUUCAGUAAUGAAACUAAUUAGUUAAGUAAUGCAAUCAAUUAGUUAAUCAAUGGAACCAAUUAGUUAAGGAAUUGAACCAAUUACUUAAAGAAUGGAACCAACUAGUUAAGCAAUGGAACCAAUUAGUUAAUCAAUGGAACUAAUUAGUUAAGCAAUGGAAUAAAUUAGUUAAUCAAUGAAACCAAUAAAUUUACAGUUAUAAAGAAAGUAUAUGUUAAGCCUAGAAUUUAAUUAGUUAAGCAAUAAAACAAUUAGUUAAACUAUUAAACCAAUAAGUUAAUCAAUGGAACCAAUUAGUUAAACAAUGAAAUCAGUUAGUUAAACAAUGAAAUCAAUUAGUUAAACAAUGGAACUAAUUAGUUAAGCACUAGAACCAACUAGUUAAGUAAUGAAACCAAUUAGUUAAACAAUGAAAUUAGUUAGUUAAGCAAUGCAACCAAUUAGUUAAGUAAUAGAAGGAAUUAGUUAAAGCAAUGUAACUAAUUAGUUAAACAAUGUAACCAAUUAGUUAAGCAAUAGAAGGAAUUAGUUAAGUAAUGUAAUGUGCACGAUUGAUGAACUUUCUUUAUUUGAUUGUUAAGCUUGAAAUUAAAUUCAAUUAGUUAAGCAUGAAAUUAAAUUAGUUAAACAAUAAAACCAAUUAGUUAAAUAAUUAAACUACUUAGUACAAUAUUGAAAUCAAUUAGUCAAGUACUGAAUCCAAUUAGUUAAUCAGUAAGAAUAAUUAGUUAAGUAUUAAGAUUAAUUAGUUAAGUACUGAGAUUAAUUAAAUUUUAACUAAAAAAUGGAGAGAAAUGCUACUCCAUAGUCCAUACUUUAAAAAAAAAAAAAAAAAAAAAAGAGAAAUUGCACUAAUGAGUAAUGACAAUGACGAAGCAAAAUUUUGAAAUGAAUUCCUUCUCAAAUCCCAACAACCCACAACAACAACACGAACAACCCACCACAAUUUUUGGCGUCAAACAAGUAGAUCUCACGGCAUG